rnacentral:rRNA from 1 species
GGAUGUGAUCAUACCAGCACUAAAGCACCGGAUCCCAUCAGAACUCCAAAGUUAAGCGUGCUUGGCCGAGAGUAGUACUAGGAUGGGUAACCUCCAGGGAAGUCCUCGUGUUGCAUUCC